AGCAGCCGCGGUAAUUCCAGCUCCAAUAGCGUAUAUUAAAGUUGUUGCAGUUAAAAAGCUCGUAGUUGAAUUUCGGGAUCAAUUAAUUGGUCGUGCCUCUGGUACGUACUGAUUUUAUUGGUUUCUCCCUUCUGACGAACCAUGAUGUCAUUAAUUUGAUGUCGUGGAGAAUCAGGACUGUUACUUUGAAAAAAUUAGAGUGUUUAAAGCAAGCUAACGCUUGAAUACAUUAGCAUGGAAUAAUGAAAUAGGACGUUUGAUCCUAUUUUGUUGGUUUCUAGGAUCGACGUAAUGAUUAAUAGGGAUAGUUGGGGGCAUUAGUAUUCAAUUGUCAGAGGUGAAAUUCUUGGAUUUAUUGAAGACUAACUACUGCGAAAGCAUUUGCCAAGGAUGUUUUCAUUAAUCAAGAACGAAAGUUAGGGGAUCGAAGACGAUCAGAUACCGUCGUAGUCUUAACCAUAAACUAUGCCGACUAGGGAUCGGAUGAUGUUAAUUUUUUAAUGACUCAUUCGGCGCCUUACG
rnacentral:rRNA from 1 species